rnacentral:rRNA from 1 species
GAUUUACUCGAAUAAAGNUCUNGAUAGAAUAAUGAUAAUGACAAUUUUCUAUUUAUAUGUCUUGACCAAAUCUCGNGCCAGCNGNCGCGGCAAGACGAGGAAGACUAGUGUUAGUCAUCUUUAUUAGGUUUAAAGGGUACCUAGACUGUNGANUUNGCCUAAUCAAGNUACGNAUUUACUAGAGNUUUAUGUGAGAGGNNNAUAUUAGAACUAUAAANGUNGAGAUANAAUUCUUUGAUAUUUUUNNNNNNNNNNNNNNCGAAAGCGAACCUUUAUGUACAAACUGWCGUUGAGGGACGAAGGCUUGGGUAGCGAAUAGGAUUAGAUAMCCUAGUAGUCCAAGCAGACAAUUAUGAGUGCCAUAGACUAGAUUUAUUUUAGUCUAUAAAUGAAAGUGUAAGCAUUUCACCUCAAGAGUAAUGUGGCAACGCAGGAACUGAAAUCAUUAGACCGUUUCUGAAACCAGUAGUGAAGUAUGUUAUUUAAUUCGAUAAUCCUCGAAAAACCUUACCACAAUUUGUAUAAUAAAUAACAUACUUAAUAAAAAACCUCAUUAAGUAACGGUCAAAUUUACUUUAUAAGAGCUUAUUAAAGGAAAGCUUGUUUUAUUGCAAGUUAAUAUAUUUUACUAUUACAASGCUGCACGGCUGUCUUCAGUUAAUGUCGUGAGACUAUGGUUAGAUCCUUUAAAUUAACGUAAACCCUUGCUUUAUUUUCAUUUUUAAGGCAGUUCUCCGUUAUAUUGGAUAAGAUAAA